rnacentral:rRNA from 1 species
GCAUGUGGUUUAAUUCGAAGCAACGCGAAGAACCUUACCUAAGCUUGACAUCCCAAUGACAUCUCCUUAAUCGGAGAGUUCCCUUCGGGGACAUUGGUGACAGGUGGUGCAUGGUUGUCGUCAGCUCGUGUCGUGAGAUGUUGGGUUAAGUCCCGCAACGAGCGCAACCCUUGUCUUUAGUUGCCAUCAUUAAGUUGGGCACUCUAGAGAGACUGCCAGGGAUAACCUGGAGGAAGGUGGGGAUGACGUCAAAUCAUCAUGCCCCUUAUGCUUAGGGCUACACACGUGCUACAAUGGGUAGUACAGAGGGUUGCCAAGCCGUAAGGUGGAGCUAAUCCCUUAAAGCUACUCUCAGUUCGGAUUGUAGGCUGAAACUCGCCUACAUGAAGCUGGAGUUACUAGUAAUCGCAGAUCAGAAUGCUGCGGUGAAUGCGUUCCCGGGUCUUGUACACACCGCCCGUCACACCACGGGAGUUGGAG